CUCACAGCUCCACAGCAGGGGCUGUGGUGCCAGAAGAGGAAGGCUUUGGUGGUUAUACUGGGAAUCAUAGCGUUCCCCCCAUCUGCUGGCUCCAGCAUUCGGUGCAGCGUGCUGCCCCUUUGACUGCGGAUGAGGUCCCAUCUGUUCAACGGGCUUGUCCAACAAGUUGUAUUCAGCUCACGGAGCCUUGGAGCAGGAGGGACACCGCCGUGCUGUGAUGCCCAUUCCCGGGAGGAGUGUGGGAUGUGGCCCAAAGGAGUGAGUCUCCCACACGGACAGUGCUGGAGAGAGGAAUCCCACCUGACUGCCUGAUGCUUAAGACUGUGAAUAACAGCUUGGAGAAGACCUUGUGCAUAUCUUUUGAUCUUUGGGCUUCAGACAGCCCUUCACCCAUAAUUAACUUGUGUGUUGACUGAUCACCUGAGUGAUCAAGGGAUACUCAGUAUGUCAGUGGAAACCAGGAAACUAUUACUCUACUGCAAAACAGCAAUCAAGCCAACUCGUCUAUGAUACAAAUCAGAUACCUGCAGGAACAAGUCACGUACUGGCAAGCUGCACUGGAGAUGGAUGAUAUACUAAAUUAUUAUAUUCAAUAGCAUCAAUUAUGUUUACAGGAGUCAGCUUUGACCUGGCCUGGUGCCCACACGCUUUAUUCCAGAUGUGACCAUGGAAAGUCCAUAAGGGAGGCAACCAGAGGGAAGAAGCCCUUGCUGGCUUGAUGCCUAAAAACAAAUACGCUACCUGAGGGAAGGAGAUCCUCAGCUGUGAGUGGAGACUUGGCCCUGGAGAAAGAAUACAAAGCUCCCCAGCCUGCGAUUAGGAAGACAAAUCUGAUUGACCUUCGGUUUCAUCUGAACCACCGUGGUUACUGCAGAAGGUACUGACGUAGCCAAAACCUCACUGAUGCCCCUCGGACUUCUCGAAGGCCAACUCCCCAGUUUGUGACUGGAGGCUUUCAGGAGACGGCUGGGAUGUCACAUUUAGCAGUGGAUUGUGAAAUGCUUGAAAACUGGAAUCAUAGGAGCAUUAUUUAAUGCUAAGUGUUAUCUGCAUCAUAUCUGAAGCUGGAAUAUGCCAGGAAAACAUCCUUCACAUUCUGCAACUAAUACAUCCGAGCUUUCAGGCUCAAUCGUGAGUUGGCUGGGGUUUUGCCCUGUGGCUGGAAAAGGAAAAGCCGUUGAGUAAGAAGAGGGAGCACAAAUGGAUUUCCUAAUGCAUGUGGUUCCCAGACCAACAGCCUCAGCUUUUGGCAAAAGAUGAAAUCCAGCAGUGCAUCUUUCCUGGGUUCUCCAGCAGAAUGAGAGGGAAAGAACCAGUGCUGGCAGAUAUAGCUUACAUUUUUGAAACAAGAGAGUCGAGUGAACUACAAAACAAUUCAAGCUGCGGGGAAUGCCACAAGUAGGAAGGAGAGAAUGGUGGAUCCCACCACAGCUUGCCUGGGAUUCACAAGAACGAGUUCUGCAAGAAACAAACAAAACCAGAAAAGCCUUCCAGUCUGGUAAAAUAACCCUCACCUUCCAUAAGCGAACUGAGAAGAGAUGCACGCUUUUAAAUUGUGAUUGAGAACUCCUUUCAGAAUCACGAAGCCUGGAUUAUUCAAACAAAUUCUGGGGCGGUCUGCUGACUUCUAAAUGUUUCCUGGAAUGACUGUGAAAAAGAGCGGCCAAGCAGGUACACUCAUGGUUGUUUAAAAUAUGCUCUUAUAUUUCAUCCAUCACUGUAAUAAAUUUGGUCUCAUGAGGCAAAACAUGAAAUAUAGUAGAACUGAAUUAGACAAACAUUGUGUCUUGCAGUCUAUGACUUUAUCUGGAAGUUAGGGAGUCAGAGUAUCAAUUAAUGAGAAAAGACAGGGCAAAGAAACCUCUUUAAUUUACCUUUUAUAGGCAAAUGCUACUCACUUCAGAAAUAUCAUGUCACACUUCAAGCAACGUAAAGCUUUUGUGCGUGACCGAUCCCUCCAGAACUGCACCACCCAGCCCUCAGAAGGCAACCUGGAGACUGGUCCCAGGUCACUGCUAUUAGUCUUAGCACCAAAAGGUUAUGAUUCUUAAUGUGACUGCACAGAUGAGUGUUCACUGGAUCAAAAAGUUUGUUAGUCAUGCUUCACUAAUUUGCUUAUUUUAUAAAAUAAGUAACCAGUAUGUCAGUUGCUGGAAACUUGGAUCAUCCUGGGUGUCCGGCUCAGUCUGCUUCAUGGUCUGGAGCAGGAACAGUGUAAGAGCUGCCAAAAAAUGAAAAAAUGAACCACCAGGGUCACACACAUUACUCAUCAAUCUGAAAAGUAACAAGAUUAAUACUAAGAACUGUUUUUUACACAGUAAUCCUCUCCUGUAGUAAAAUUAUUUAAAAGACAUUUUAGUACAUGUAUCUUGUUAGUUAUCUUAACAGCAACUGAAACCUGCAACAUUUUUGAGGAAUGACUUAGCAAAACAGAGCCCGAACCUGAAUAAACCUGAAAAUCUCCAUGCAGUGUUUAGGUAAGCCCAAACAAACCUGAAUAUCUUGGUGUUUGUAGUCUUUUUGUUUGCUUAUACUGCCUCAGAAAGCCAUUCAUUGAGAGGAAACAACGUGAAACCUGCUCUUCUCGUGAUUUUCAUCAUCCAGAGAUUUAAAUUAGUGGGAUCUGCUCUUUUCAUGCUAUUCUGUCUCCAUAAAUUACUCCUGGAGGCAUUAAAAGGGCUUGUGAAAAACACAGUAAUAAAUACCCAAAGCACAAAUACAAGUGCUGCAAACUGCUCACACUGCUGUGGCAGCAGCUCUGUUGUUAAUUUAUUGAGCAAAACUGAUGAGGGACCUCAGCACCUGUUUCAGCGCUAGUCUGUGUGGAGCCUCAUUUUACACUGCUCAAACCGAUGCUAAAAAUCCCAUUGACUUUUUGAAACAGUAUCGUGAUCGUUUGGGAGCUGACCGAGUUACUCUUGAUUAUUCCGAAGGACAGAGGAAUAAGGAAAAUGAAGGGAGAGAAGAAAUGUCAGCUGUAAAAGGAUCUUCUAGCUGGUGUCACCUGCAGCAAGCAGCUCCAAGUCCUGGGUGGACCAUGCCUCCGGGCAGGAAUGGGGAGGUUGUGUAACAGAGGCGAGCUCUGCCAGGUCCUUUCUCCUGACACAUCCCAGGCCACAAGUAUGGCCCCUACAUCUGAGGGAGAGGAGCAGCAGGGGCACGCGUGAGUCAUGGCCCUCAUGACAGGGGAAUUCCUCGCUGGCUGCUGGCAGCAGCGGGGCUGAGCGGUUUCCACUGCCUGAGCAUUAUGGAAAGAGCCGUUCUCAGCUGAGUAUUUAAUUCCAGUUUCUCACCUCCCUUCAAAAUAGAAGAUCCUGACAUAGGGAGUUUUUGAUCAAAGAGUUCUCAUGCAGUCCUUCUGACUGAUCCUUCGUGAACUAGGAGAAGCCCAGGUUCCCAGCGAGCCCCUGGGUUUCCUGCAAAGGCAUCCGAGUCAAGUUACAUUUUGCCCUCUGCUAGUCCCCUUGAUGAGAAAACACAAAAGAACAAAAUAUUAAUCAGUGAAACAGCCAAACUGUCCAGCAUUCCAUGACAUUUAAUGCCUGGUUGGCCCAAACCCUGGUUUCACCUCUUGAAAGCCCCCUGGGUCUGCGCACACCUGGAGCUAGCUGCAGGAGCGCCGGCACGGCUCUGCUUGCUGCAGCCACUGCCUCCGCCUGGGGCACUCGGGGCUGCCGCUUCUUCAUUCACAGGGUGUUGUUAUAAGAAAUUAACAUUGUGAAGUACUCAUAUGCCAUACUGAUAAAAGCCCUAAAAAAAUGCACGAGAACAUUAGCGACUGUGUCUUCCAAGAAGGUUUUGAAUAGUAUGAGCACAGAGCCGCUGCCUUCCAGCUACAACCACACCUAUUUGUGAAAUGAGGGCAGAGAACACAGAAGAUUUUCUCCGAAGUGGAUCUGGAUGACCGUGCAGGCAAGCCAGAAGGCAGAAAUCCUCCCUGGCAGACACGGAGCCAUGGCUGCAGCUCUCCUGGCUGGGCCUCCAGGCACCAUCUUCAAAUUAACAGCUGGAGUAAGAACUUGUGGAUGGAACAGCUCCAAAAUGCUUUGCAGAACCUCAAGACCAUGGGGCCGUGGGCUGUGCCAUCUCCAGACCAUGGUCCCAUCUGCCUGCCCUGCUUGGACACCAGUAUCAGGCUAGAAGACCCAUCCUGAUGUGCCUUGGCCCUUGGUACCUUGCAAGAAAAUGGGACGAAGAAAACUGGGUUUGCUACUUGUGUUUAUCAAAACCUCCUAAAACAUGAAAUCAAAGCAUACCCAUCGCAGGCUAGAGACGACUUUACCCUAUCUGUGCUUUCCAGCUUGCAAAUCUCCCUCCCUCUGUGUGUGUGUGUAUAUUUUUAUAUAUAUAUAUAUAUAUAUAUGUAUAUGUAUAAAAUCAGUAGUGGAGGGUGAUUUUUCCACAGCUUUUCUGUGGCACGUAAUGAGGUGGGCAAUUUAAAAUCUGUUCUGUACAGUCAAGGAUCCAGCUCUCAAAAAGCGUUACACAUUAUUAGCUUCAAUUGGUCUUUUAACAUCCAUCUUAAAGGGUCAAUAAAUGAGUUUGCCUAGAGGUAAUCUAGUUGUUUUCAUGUGUAGGGCUAUGGUCACAGCUGGAGGGCACCGGCAGGGCCAGGCUGUCUGUCUGCCUGCGUAGACUUCAGUCUCUAGAGUCAGUGUUCUAUUAAUUUUACAGUACCUUAAAUUCAUAUUGUAAUUAUGAGAAAGAAGCAGAGAGAGGGAGAUAUUUCCUUUUAAUAGAAAAUAGGUUUUAAAAAAUCUGGAGCUUAUUAUGCCCCUAAAUUCUAAUUAUGUUACGGCUGGACUUUUAUCUCGGUACACUGCAAAUAAAUCCAGACUAAGGUGGCUUGGAUGUAUGUUUCCCAACCUGACAACAGGAAGCUAUAGCCAGGGGAGAGAAGAGAGCAGAGCAAACAGUAUGAAGCUGAAAGAGUGUCAUAUUUUGAAUUUUACGUUUUCAUCUUUAAAUAUCUAGGCUGAAAUUUGGUAACUUAAUUCAAAAGCAAAAGUAAAUUUAGUGGUCUCAUACAAGCCCCUAGUGGACAUCAUUUAUCCAGUUGACAAGAUCACCAUGUAUUUUAACAGGAUGAGGUCUUUGAUUUGAAAGUAAAGCUUGGAAUAUCCUUAGUUAAGAGGACCGGGAGACAGGGAAACUUUUAAAAGUGAAGGGUGGUGUACAUCAUCCCACAGCUGUCUGGGAUCAAAUGUGUGGCAAUACCAGCAGCUGCAUAGGUGUGGGGAGCCCAAAGGUGCAAAAGUGAUAGAAUUUGCCUAUUGACUUGCUGAGCUUUGGCUGAAAUGCACUCAAAGCCUGAAACUGUGUUAUGUUGCUAUUUCAGCUCUGAUUUGAAGUGUACAGUAAGGAAAACUCACAUGACGUUGUUAAUACAGACACUUUUCCAUUUAGUUAAAAAACAUUAACAAGAGAGGACUGCAAACAUCACUUUCUGGGGUAAGCCUUCAGACAUCAAGAACUCAAGAUAUUUUGUAAGUACAAGGCUGGUGUUUGACCCUUCCCUCCCCAGCGAUCAGGACUUUCCCUUGCAGAGUCCCUGGGUGUUUACAGCCAACGUACAGACGUUUAAGACCACCAGUGUAAUCUAGGCUCCAUGAGAGGCAUUUAAUAUUGGCUUGACAUGAUCUACUGCAGCCUUUGUUCAUAUUUCUUCAUAUCUCUGAGGGGUGGGAUAGUGGUGGUGGUGAUGGGGGAGGGAAGAGUGGAGAAUUGAGACUGUAACUUUGAUCAGAGCUUUGUGAGGGGGGCGGUCUGAAGCACUGUCCUUGCAAGGUUAAGAACAAGCACGUGGCUGAUCCCCGUACGCUGCCCCGCGGCUCCCGAGCAGCCGGUGCCACACUCCCGGCUAGUGCCUCUCAGGGCUCCCCCGGGACCUGGCUCAGCUGAGCCUGCCUUCUGCCAUCCACUUCAGUCCGUCUCUCUCCUUUCACAGAAUCAACUGCUUCUGAAAAGAAACGUGUUCUGCAGCAGCCCAAGUGACCUUGAUCAGCACGAGUCUCUCUCGCCCCUUGGUGCAGGCACCGUUAAUUUAGAGGAGGACUGAACGGCAGAUGCUGACAGCGUGUGCCUGGUCCCGCUUCAGUGUGGGCGUGAGAAGGUGUUAGGUGUAAACCUCGUGCUCUCUUCUUCCAGCUGUGAGGAAGAGGAGGGGCUGUACCCCAGCAGCACUGAUUUCAGGUCAGGGAUGCAGCACCUUCUGCUCGCUCAGCAUUCAUUGGGAGCUGUAGCAGUGCGGUCGCAGCCUCCUGGGGGAACCGUGAGCCCUCUGCUCCCCUUCCUUUCCAGUCUUCUGUGUUUCCUUACACCAGCCUUGAGCGUACGUACUCUGCGCUUCCUUCCCUCCAGUCAUUCCUAUUCCUGAUCCAGUGGGCCGGACCCUGAGUGAUAGUUUUGGGCUGUGUCUGCACCGUGGCACACAUGGCUGCGCCGCUCGUGGCUCUGCUGCCAAGGGGCACGCGUGCUUUGCUUCCAAGGAAUGGGUUUGCAGGCAGGAAUGUCUGUGGAGACAGAGCUUUUUCGGUAAAUGUAAAUACCAGAACAUGCUCCCCGAAGGCACUUUAACAGUCCUGGGAGAACAUCUGUGCCCAUAAAGGCAAUUCUCAAGUUGUUCCCAUCUAAUUAAGGAGCCAGAACAUCAGCUUUUUAUCCGGAGAAGACAGCUUCCAUUUUGCCAGUCCUCCUUUCUCCUAUCUUGCCUGCAAAGUGAAGGCUGGGAGCACCUUUUGCAAAAGUUAUUGGCCAAAUAAUUUCAGAUAGUAAAUGGGCAUAUGGAAAAUUAAAGAUCAUUCAUGAACUACUAGAAGCUGGGGAAAGAGGAAAGGUCAGUUGAAAAGGGACAUAUCAUUUUGUUCCUCCUUAGGAGAUAGAUAAAUUGUAUGUAGUUCUUAGGUUGACUUGAUGCAUAAAAACAAAUCCUGCAGCCAGCUUUAGAGAUAAGCACAGCUUUGGAGUUCCCUGGACAGUGUUUUCCAGCACUAAUGUGCAGUCCAGCCUAGUGAGUUCAAGCAAAUGAGCAGAUUUGGCUGUGGAAACAGUUUUGCUUCCUCUUUUCCUUGCAGCAUAAGUUUGGUCAGGGGGAAAACUUUACUUUUGAAAGUUUAAUGCUAUUAGUGGGAUUUUGGUAAGUUAUUGUGUCUGUAUCUCAGCCUUCAGCAAAUAUUAAGCAGUAAAACAUGAGCAUAAGACCUUGUCUAACUUCAUCCCUGCUUUUUUAUGCCAAUGCUUUCAGAGGUAGCCAGAAUUGAAUUUGGUAUGAUCAUGUGAAAGAAACAAGUCUCUCAAAAUUAGUCCCUUAUAGACUAAACUUGUCCCUAUCACAAAAUCUGUGAUGUGCUGAGCCCGAUGUAGGUGGGAUAGUUAUUGCCGGGAAGGGAACAAAUGCACAAACCUCUGGCUCUUGGAAAGCUCCUUUCUCAUGGAUGCAGUGGAUAUGUCGGCAUGAGAGGGACAAGGGGAAGGGAGUGUGAGCAAUGCUUUUGCCAAAGUAUUACAGGUUCUUUAGCUUUUUCUGAAAGUGUCAGUUCAGAACCAUUCCUUAACAAGAAAUCAGUAAAGGAUUUGAUCCAAAGGCUACUUGUCAGUAGGAGUUUUGCUUAUUGACUGUGCUGGGGUUUGGAUUGGGCCCUAAAUCCUACAGCUGUGCCUAUUAAUAAUUAAGUAAAAAGAGCUGGCAAAGUUUUUCAUCCACUGUAAACAAACAUGUUUCCACUAUGAAGUGCAUUUAAUGGAGUUUUGCAGCAUUGGUCUCCCGGGCAAGCAUAUUAGUCUCUGUUUUCCCUCCUUGUCCUAAUGGCCGCAGCCAGGAGGGGGGCUGGUCUGAACUGUGAAGGAGGCUGGUUUUUAUCCACAUUGAGUGGAGAGGCAUAAAUUGGCAUUCCAUAUCAUCAUAAAAAAAAUUCCCAGCAAUUAUUAAAAGAUUCUUAUCUCUUGCUCCCUACAUGGAUAAUGAGAUCCCUCUCUGCUGGACUGAGACAGCCUGUCUCUCAGCUCACUUAAUGAAAUGGACCCAAGUUUGCAAAUUAGCAUAGCCCUGACUCCAAACGUAACCUCUUGUUGUCCAGUUGUACAUCAAGGCCCCUGGCUUAUGUCUUUUCUUAUUAACACCCCGUAAUCAUGUCAACCCUCUUUAGUUUUCAUUUCCUGUUUCCUUUUACAAAUUCACUUUUGAGUUUUGAGCACGUUGUUGGACGCCUUUGGAUGAGCUGGGAUUUUAUUUUUGUCUCAUUUUUAACGUUAUUGAAGUAUAAGUUUGUCUGUGGGUACUGCUGCAGUUCUAGGGAAUCUGGUUUCUGUUUAGUACUUUUGCUGGUUGUUUGCCAUAUGAUCUUAAAGCAACUCCUUUCAAACGGCUGUGCUCGUUUCCCUUCCAUUUUUUUAUUUUUUGUAUUUUAGACUGUAAGAUCUUGGGGCCAGAGAUUUUGUCUUGCCAUAUAUUUGGUCAGUGCCUUGCAGAGAGCAAUUUUUGUUUCUGUGAGGGUGUCUGUGUAAUAGAUUAUUAAAAAGGAACAGCGAUAUUGUACUCUAGCAAGCACAAUAUGCUAAAGGCUUUCUAAGAAGUCAAGACAGACAAACCCUUUGAAACUCUUUUUCCUUCUCUCUCCCUUGAUGUGAAACUUCAUUGUUGGACCUUUAGAGUAAUAAAUCAAAGUAGCUGAAAGAAGUGAAUCAUGAUUUCUUUUGCCCAUGUGCAGCUGACCCAAUCUGUCUUUGAUAAGGCAGUGCCCUUCCACUUUAUCCACUACCCUACUAAUUAUUCUUCACUUUCAUGAGCACUAAAAUCCACUCACACAUUAGAAUAAAAAAAGAAACAGGGAAGUGAUUAGUUGUAUACAGAUAAGAAGCAGCCCACAGUGUUAGCUGGGUAAUAACAUUUUUCUAAGAUUUCUUUUUUUUUUUUUUUUUUUUUUUUCCUCCCUGAAAUUCAUUUUCUCUCACUUACAUACAUUGCAGUAAAAAAUACUUACGGUUUCUAACACAAAAGAUAACUCUUCAAUGCAAAGCUUUAGUGUAUGUCUUUAAAAGAUUUAUUCCUUUAUCAAGUAUUAAUUUAAGAAGGGGUGCCUUGUAGGUAAGGCAAUGACAUCAGUGGUAGGCUACAGGGCAGCAGAUUUAUUAAUUUAAUAGGUUUAUCCAUUUUACAGCUAGGAUAAUCAUAUUUCACUAAACUGGUACACAGGGAGGCCUCAGCCCAUCUGACAGCUUUAUUCUUGUGUAAGUUAACAAGCACAUUUUGUACUCAUGACCUUGUGAAUUGUAAAAGUGCGAGGAGCUAGAGAGGAAUGACAGACCAAAUCCAAGAAACGUGUUAGCAUUUCAGUUUUCCUGAGUGAGAUUUAUAAAGGCAGCUGGGAGGAAUCUCAGCUGCAAAGAUAACUUAAACAUUUGUUAAUUUCUUGGGUUUAAGAAAAUAUGUAGAAUUAAAAAAAAUAAAAUAAAAUAACGGAAUGUUAACUUGUAAAGUAUGGAUAUAAUUUGUUUAUCAAAGACGCCAGUUUAACAGUAGAAUUUCUCCCCUGGCAAUAGAGGAGUUGUUCUUGAUCUGGGACAACUAGAGCAGCGUUGGGCUGGUUUUGUCUAAGGUGAAUGUGUUUAAACAUACUCAUGUUUGCUCCUUGCGACACCCUGUGCUUGCUGUGGCCACUAAGUCCCCUCUAGAAGUGUUUAAAAUUCUUGAAACUGGCUGAGAAAUAAUGAGAUUAAGUGAAGAAUGAAGCUAGGCUUUUAAAAAUGCCUAAUUAAAGCCAUUUUAUGGUUAAAACCCUCACGUAUACUUGUGUCAUUUUAAAGCAUUUCUUGUUUACUCGAUGGGAAAGCAAGCAAGCAUGCACUCCUUUAGGGUUUUCUUUUUUCCUACUGAAAUCUUUGGGAGAAAAGGAAAAUAUUUGCCUGUUUGCGUAAAAGCUCACACUUAAAGCUGGACUUUUUUAAAAAGCCAUGUUUCAGUUUCUUGUUGAAAAGAUGACAUAUUCAGGAAGAAGAUACUUCCUAUGCCAAAAAGCCAUUCAACUGAAAACUAACAUCUCUUCAGAAUAUGUAACAUAAAAGUAGGGGUUAAUCCUACUCUGUCCUUUUAAUGAAAACAAAAGCCGAGCUACUUACACUCUACUAACUACAAGCUCUUCAAACAAAAGAGUAAAUACCUCGGACCUCACCAGAAAAUGGUACAUUUGGCAACGCUGAAAGAACUGAGAGAAUUGUACACCUCGGGGAUUUGUUUUCAUUUAGAUUCAAGCUCCUUCAUGCCAUUCUUGACACGUAAAAAGGAAUAUUAUCUGCAACUCAGAAUUAGGCCACGAAGAUGGGAAUUUCAAACACUUGGAUAUUGGUCGAACAUGACAGGCCAGUACGGAGAUACAACGCGCUGGGAGUUUCACUUCCCUCUAUAUUCCUCGUUUCGGGCACAUCCCGUUUGACAGCAGCCGAGGGCUGUUUAGCUCCUCACAGGCGUCCAGACCUGUCGGUCCGUCUGGAAGGCCAAGGGGAACAAACACUUGCUCUGCCAGGCUCGAUGCUGAGCAUGUGCCUGAAGUGACACGCUGGGGCGUGCGAGCGAGGGGUGCCCGUGCCGGCCAGUGCCCGCAGGGUGACAAAGUCCCUUGCACAGGUUCGAUGAGCUGCACCUCCUCCUCCAGCCACUUGCACUUUCUGGUUUGUAGAGGGCAAUAGUUAUUGUUGGGGUUUAAAAUGUGGUAUAACGAUAUUUAUGUUUGCAGGAGGAAUCAGUUAAAUAAAUAAAUAAUGUUCCAAUUUGAACUGCUCUAUUGGCAACAAUGUUUCAAGGUUCCCCUAAAGUACACAAACAAGUGCCCUGCUGGCAGUGCAGGGCUUGCCUGAGCUGCCUGGAAAAGCAGACACUGUGGGAACGUCCUGCUCGGUCCUUCCCGGGUCCGUAUGGCCUGACGUCCUUGUGUCACCCCACGGACUGUGUUCCCUGCAGGUCUGGCAGGACUCUGAGAGAUGGUCCUUGGCUUGGCGGAGGCUGGUUUCUUCAGGAUCCUGUGCAUUCCUUGUUUUCCAGGGCUGGGAGGCUGAGCGUUGGGGUAACGCUUCCGAAGUGCUGUCAUGUAACCGAAAAUCCCAUUCCAUUUUCUACCGUAUGAGGAACACAAAGAAGGCGGCCAGUUGCAUCAGAGGGUGCCAUAACCCAUCUUACCAUAAAAACAGCAAAAAGCUACUCCUGUCAGGUGUGAUAGCGUAGUCCCGUCGGGUUUUGAGGCUGUGACCGUUCCCUUUCCUCUUUCUCAAAAGGGGGGAACCUUGUUCCCAGGAACACGCUCAAUCACAGGGAUGUUUUAUAGUUGGCUGUGGAUGUGUUACUGGUUGGGGAUCCUAAUUAUUAUCAAUUUGUAGAUUGCCUUGAAUGUCUUAUUAAGAUUCCUGUGGAAUGAUUGAUCAUAAUCAAAAAAUUAAUCACCAAUCAGCCCUGGCAAUUAACAUUAGCAAGUCUAUUUGCAUAUAUCUGAUAAUUUAUGCCGCUGCUGGAAGAGGGGACUUUUGUUGAAUAUUAUUGAUUAGGGGAGAAGAGCCAGAUGCUUCUACCAUUGGGACAUUAGGCUUUAUUAGAUAGGGCUAGUAAUGUGUAAGAAAUUGAAGGGCAUUCCUGCAGACUGCUGUAACGUGUGCAUCUUCAAGUGUCUAGAAGGAAUUUCUUAAAUGCAUACACUGAAAUCUCUUAAAUAUUGAAAAGUGGGAUAUCCUGCUUUAAAGAAGCUUUGACUUUUGGCUCUUAUUUAUUGCAGAUGCUUUAAAUAUCUAAAAUGUUUGAUAAUAUCAGCCUAGAUUGUGAGAUUUACAUUACAAGAAAUUACUUAAAAGAUAAAAUUAUUUACUGUUAUAAAUAAAGGAU